rnacentral:lncRNA from 1 species
GCUUUUCCCAUCAUUCCCUCGGUCUCUCUGGUGGCAAAUGAAAUUUAAGAUGGAUCAACAUCUGGGGCACUGUGGUGGUGGCAUAGCUGAGAUCCAGUACAGAGAGGAUGCUGAGGAAGAAGUACAUAGGGGUGUGGAGGCGCACAUCUACUCUGAUCAAGACUCAAUGGGAGGACACCACAUGAGAUCCACAGAUGCGGAGACCAAAGUCAUCUCAGAGCUAAAUAAUUGA